rnacentral:rRNA from 1 species
GUGGGGAAUAUUCCGCAAUGGACGAAAGUCUGACGGAGCAACGCCGCGUGAGUGAUGAAGGUUUUCGGACUGUAAAGCUCUGUUGUUUAGGACGAAAGUGCCUGUUGCAAAUAGUUACAGGUAUUGACGGUACUGAACGAGGAAGCCACGGCUAACUACGUGCCAGCAGCCGCGGUAAUACGUAGGUGGCAAGCGUUGUCCGGAAUUAUUGGGCGUAAAGCGCAUGUAGGCGGGAAUCUAAGUCUGUUGUGAAAAUGCGGGGCUCAACCCCGUAUUGCGAUGGAAACUGGGUUUCUUGGGUGCAGGAGAGGAAAGGGGAAUUCCCAGUGUAGCGGUGAAAUGCGUAGAUAUUGGGAGGAACACCAGUGGCGAAGGCGCCUUUCUGGACUGUGUCUGACGCUGAGAUGCGAAAGCCAGGGUAGCGAACGGGAUUAGAAACCCGAGUAGUCC